AAAAAGACAAACUCUGGUUUCCGUGCCCAACCUUUAACCGUCAGUCUUAUUUGAAAAAAAUAUGAAAAAAAUUAAAAAGACAAGUCACGCAUAAAAUAUUAAUCAUGUUUUAUCAUCUAACAAUAAUGAAAAUACGAAUUAUAAAAAAAAUUUAUAUAACACGAACAGUCAAAGUUGGACAUAGAAACUCAGGGUUUACUUUUUU
rfam:Oryza nivara chromosome 9, whole genome shotgun sequence.